UGUAAUCUUAUGUAAAUAUAAUUUAAAAUCGAUUCCUUUCAAGGUGCUUACAGGCAUGCAUUUUAUUGGGUAAGUAAUUAAAAAGGGAAAUUCAUUUCAAACUGAAUGAGAAACGGACCAACAAAAUAGGUGGGUUGUGUGAGGAAGGGCAUGCGGCAUAAAAUGAUGCCAUCCAAAUCAUGCGAGUGACUCGCGGCGGCGACCCCUAAUGGGACGAGCCCAACUGGCAACAUUUGUCACAUUAAAUCCAAGUAAUGAAGUUUUUUAUUUCCAGGUCAGACGUUUAUGUAAUUCAGAAGCUGCCAUCGUCUCACACCUGGAAAAACAAGAGGAAAGACAACGAGCUCCGAAUGUCAUCAAGAAGUAAGUAGCAGCAAUAUUUUACUGUCUAUGAUAUUAGUACAGGGCUUGCAUUCUUUUUUUCCUUUUUUUUUAAUAAACCACAUAAUUUAAAAUCCCUAAUUUUAGCAUUUAAUCUCUGAU